rnacentral:rRNA from 1 species
CCUACGGGCGGCAGCAGUGAGGAAUAUUGGUCAAUGGACGAGAGUCUGAACCAGCCAAGUAGCGUGAAGGAUGACUGCCCUAUGGGUUGUAAACUUCUUUUAUAAAGGAAUAAAACGAGGCACGUGUGCCUUUUUGCAUGUACUUUAUGAAUAAGGAUCGGCUAACUCCGUGCCAGCAGCCGCGGUAAUACGGAGGAUCCGAGCGUUAUCCGGAUUUAUUGGGUUUAAAGGGAGCGUAGAUGGGUUGUUAAGUCAGUUGUGAAAGUUUGCGGCUCAACCGUAAAAUUGCAAUUGAUACUGGAAGUCUUGAGUACAGUUGAGGUAAGCGGAAUUCGUGGUGUAGCGGUGAAAUGCUUAGAUAUCACGAAGAACCCCGAUUGCGAAGGCAGCUUACUAAACGGGGACUGACAUUGAUGCUCGAAAGUGUGGGUAUCAAACAGGAUUAGAUACCCGGUAGUC